GACGAACGCUGGCGGCGUGCCUAAUACAUGCAAUUGGAGCGAAUCGAUGGGAGCUUGCUCCCUUUCAUUAGCGGCGGACGGGUGAGUAACACGUGGGCAACCUGCCUAUAAGUUCGGGAUAACUAACCGAAACCCCUGCUAAUACCGGAUACGUUCUUUUCUCGCAUGAGAGAAGAUGGAAAGACGGUUUACGCUGUCACUUAUAGAUGGGCCCGCGGCGCAUUAGCUAGUUGGUGAGGUAAUGGCUCACCAAGGCGACGAUGCGUAGCCGACCUGAGAGGGUGAUCGGCCACACUGGGACUGAGACACGGCCCAGACUCCUACGGGAGGCAGCAGUAGGGAAUCUUCCGCAACUUACGAAAGUCUGACGGAGCAACGCCGCGUGAACGAAGAAGGCCUUCGGGUCGUAAAGUUCUGUUGUUAGGGAAGAACAAGUACCAGAGUAACUGCUGGUACCUUGACGGUACCUAACCAGAAAGCCACGGCUAACUACGUGCCAGCAGCCGCGGUAAUACGUAGGUGGCAAGCGUUGUCCGGAAUUAUUGGGCGUAAAGCGCGCGCAGGUGGUUCCUUAAGUCUGAUGUGAAAGCCCACGGCUCAACCGUGGAGGGUCAUUGGAAACUGGGGAACUUGAGUGCAGAAGAGGAAAGUGGAAUUCCAAGUGUAGCGGUGAAAUGCGUAGAGAUUUGGAGGAACACCAGUGGCGAAGGCGACUUUCUGGUCUGUAACUGACACUGAGGCGCGAAAGCGUGGGGAGCAAACAGGAUUAGAUACCCUGGUAGUCCACGCCGUAAACGAUGAGUGCUAAGUGUUAGAGGGUUUCCGCCCUUUAGUGCUGCAGCUAACGCAUUAAGCACUCCGCCUGGGGAGUACGGCCGCAAGGCUGAAACUCAAAGGAAUUGACGGGGGCCCGCACAAGCGGUGGAGCAUGUGGUUUAAUUCGAAGCAACGCGAAGAACCUUACCAGGUCUUGACAUCCUCUGACAACCCUAGAGAUAGGGCUUUCCCCUUCGGGGGACAGAGUGACAGGUGGUGCAUGGUUGUCGUCAGCUCGUGUCGUGAGAUGUUGGGUUAAGUCCCGCAUUAAGCGCAACCCUUGAUCUUAGUUGCCAGCAUUCAGUUGGGCACUCUAAGGUGACUGCCGGUGACAAACCGGAGGAAGGUGGGGAUGACGUCAAAUCAUCCUACCCCUUAUGACCUGGGCUACACACGUGCUACAAUGGAUGGUACAAAGGGCUGCAAACCUGCGAAGGAUUCCGAAUCCAUUAAAGCCAUUCUCAGUUCGGAUUGCAGGCUGCAACUCGCCUGCAUGAAGCCGGAAUCGCUAGUAAUCGCGGAUCAGCACCAAGCGGUGAAUACGUUCCCGGGCCUUGUACACACCGCCCGUCACACCACGAGAGUUUGUAACACCCGAAGUCGGUGAGGUAACCUUCAUGGAGCCAGCCCUCUAAGGUGCCAUAGAUGAUUGGGGUGAAGUCGUAACAAAUUCCCCGUAAA
rnacentral:rRNA from 1 species